AGAACGUUUUUGUUAUAGAGCACUGGGCUUUAAAUUAUUUUCUAAAUCGCACUCAAGAGUCUCAGAUUUUCUACACGAUUUUUCUGAUGGCGUUCUGAACGACAAAGAGCUCGAUCAAAUGUAAUCCAAGCCGGUCAAAUUCAGACUUUUCGCUUAAAUAAAUAAAGUACUGUUCAUGCAAAUCAAACAAUAUAUGUACAUACAACGAAGUGGCUAAGCCAAAGUUUUGGAACACUUGCAACUCGGAAUUGCGAUUUCUAGCAACUGAAUUCUGGAUUGGACUCUGUAGAUGCCACGCAACUCUAAUAAUAGAAUUGUCGACUCAUAAAACAAUAUCAAAAAACUGAUUCAUUGCCACACUCUACUAUCAAAUACAAAGUAUUAUAAUGUAAUCAAACUGCACAUUAUAUGGUUGGGUGGUUUAUAAUUUCGGAUAAUCCCUCCACCCAUUAGAACAGAUUCCGAUAAUAAACCAUAAGUACCAAAAUAAAA